CAUCUGCUGCCAUUCCAAGGCUGCACUGUGAACCAGACAGAAAUCCCCAUGUCAGACUGAAAGUGCCUCGCCCCUACCCUACCUUCCACUUCUUGGACACAGUAAGUUUUAACUCUGUGACCUCCACCCACGUGAACGGAAGCAACACUGUCCCUACUCAAGCCAAGGAGAGAGAGAGCCUACCUGCACAUUAUCAGAAAGAUGGAUAAGUGUAUAGGACACAGAGAAUGAAGUCACAUUGAAAAUGAGAGAACCAAAGCAAUAUAUAAAAAAAUGUUUUAAAAUCCUCUGAGUGGACAACCGUCCUAUAAGAAGCAAAAGCAAACCUCUGGAGGUGUGCAUGCUGGCUGGUGAGCUUCCUCGGAGCAGGAGAGGGCACGCACAGAACAACUUCGGAGAACUAAGGAGGAGAUAAGCCAUCCACAGGAAGGUUUUGCUUCAAAAUCAGAAGAACCAAGUCAUCAGAGGCCUUCAAUCCCGGUUCGAGAACUGCAGUCACCCACUGGACAACACUUAUGCUUAUCAAGGCUUCUGAAUAACCGUGGAAAGACAUAUGAAGAACUACUGAAGGACUAUGCACAAGAGGUUCAGUGGGAAACAACAGCUGUUACGGCGAUGCAGAGACAGGGAGAGCGGAUGAGAGGAGCAGCUCAGAUCCAAGGAGUUACAUGAGCUUGGACAAUUCCCUCCACUCAUUUCCUACAAUGGCCAGCACAUCCCAAGGAAGCAAAAGUUAUAAAUGUAGGCCACGGGGAUUUCUUUUUACUUGAGAAAUGUAACUAAAUCCUGAACACAAAAGUCAGUGCUUCAGGUGAAUUAAACUUUUAGAAAUUAUGGAUUUACCUGACAGAAAUUUACUUAACGGAAAUAGAUAAUUUCUUCGUCAAAAUGUACAAACAUUUGCUUUUGUUUGUUUCUUGGCCUUCCCAAUGCUAUGAUUUUUUAAUACCAUUCCUCAUGUUGUGGUGACCAUGAAUAAAAAAAUAUAUAUGUAUAUGUAUGUAUAUAUAUGUAUGUGUAUGUAUAUAUAUAUGUGUAUGUAUGUGUAUAUAUGCAUAUGUAUAUAUAUAUAUAUAUCAUUGUUACUUAACUGUAAUUUUGCUCCUGUUGUGAGUCAUAAAGUAAGUAUCUG